rnacentral:rRNA from 1 species
GACAGAGGGUGCAAACGUUGUUCGGAAUUACUGGGCGUAAAGCGUGUGUAGGCGGUCUUCUAAGUCGGGUGUGAAAUCCCUGGGCUCAACCCAGGAAGUGCACUCGAAACUGGAGGGCUAGAGUAUCGGAGAGGUUGGUGGAAUUCCACGUGUAGCGGUGAAAUGCGCAGAUAUCAGGAGGAACACCGGUGGCGAAGGCGGAUCUCUGGGCCGUAACUGACGCUGAGGAGCGAAAGCAUGGGGAGCGAACAGG